rnacentral:rRNA from 1 species
UCGCACGAGAAAGGGUAGCAAUACCUGAGUACAGUGGCGCACGGGUGAGUAACACGUGAAUAAUCUACCUCCGAGUGGGGAAUAACUUAGGGAAACCUGAGCUAAUACCGCAUAACACUUACGAGUCAAAGCAGCAAUGCGCUUGGAGAGGAGUUCGCGGCAGAUUAGUUAGUUGGCGGGGUAAUGGCCCACCAAGACGAUGAUCUGUAUCCGGCCUGAGAGGGCGCACGGACACACUGGAACUGAAACACGGUCCAGACUCCUACGGGAGGCAGCAGUGGGGAAUUUUGCGCAAUGGGGGAAACCCUGACGCAGCAACGCCGCGUGGAGGAUGAAAUCCCUUGGGAUGUAAACUCCUUUCGAUCGGGACGAUUAUGACGGUACCGGAAGAAGAAGCCCCGGCUAACUUCGUGCCAGCAGCCGCGGUAAUACGAGGGGGGCGAGCGUUGUUCGGAAUUAUUGGGCGUAAAGGGUGCGUAGGCGGUUUGAUAAGUCUGAUGUGAAAUCUAUGGGCUCAACCCAUAGUCUGCAUUAGAAACUGUCGGGCUUGAGUAUGGGAGAGGUGAGUGGAAUUUCCGGUGUAGCGGUGAAAUGCGUAGAUAUCGGAAGGAACACCUGUGGCGAAAGCGGCUCACUGGACCAUUACUGACGCUGAUGCACGAAAGCUAGGGGAGCAAACAGGAUUAGAUACCCUGGUAGUCCUAGCCCUAAACGAUGAUUGCUUG